rnacentral:rRNA from 1 species
CCUACGGGCGGCAGCAGUGGGGAAUAUUGGACAAUGGGCGCAAGCCUGAUCCAGCAAUACCGCGUGUGUGAAGAAGGCCUUAGGGUUGUAAUGCACUUUCAAUGGGGAGGAAAACCUACCGGUCAAUACCCGGUAGCUUGACAUUACCUGUAGAAGAAGCACCGGCUAACUCCGUGCCAGCAGCCGCGGUAAUACGGAGGGUGCAUGCGUUAAUCAGAAUUACUGGGGGUGGUUCGUGAGUUCAGAUGUCAAAGCCCCGGGCUUAACCUGGGAACUGCAUUUGAAACUGGCGGACUAGAGUUGAGUAGAGGGGAGUGGAAUUUCAGGUGUAGCGGUGAAAUGCGUAGAUAUCUGAAGGAACACCAGUGGCGAAGGCGACUCCCUGGACUCAAACUGACGCUGAGGUACGAAAGCGUGGGUAGCAAACAGGAUUAGAUACCCUAGUAGUC